UACGGGGGGGGCAAGCGUUGUUCGGAAUUACUGGGCGUAAAGGGCUCGUAGGCGGCCAACUAAGUCGGACGUGAAAUCCCUCGGCUUAACCGGGGAACUGCGUCCGAUACUGGAUGGCUUGAGUUCGGGAGAGGGAUGCGGAAUUCCAGGUGUAGCGGUGAAAUGCGUAGAUAUCAGGAGGAACACCUGCGGUGUAGACGGCUUUCUGGACCAUUGCUGACGCUGAGACACGAAAGCGUGGGUAGCAAACAGG
rnacentral:rRNA from 1 species